rnacentral:rRNA from 1 species
CUUGAGUGGCGGACGGGUGAGUAACACGUGAGAAUCACCUUUAGGUGGGGAAUAACUUUUGGAAACGAUAGCUAAUGCCCCAUAGACUCGAAAGAGAAAAAAGAGCAAUCUGCCUAAAGAGAAGCUCGCGGCUGAUUAGCUAGUUGGUAAGGUAAUGGCUUACCAAGGCGACGAUCAGUAGCUGGUUUGAGAGAACGAUCAGCCACACUGGAACUGAGACACGGUCCAGACUCCUACGGGAGGCAGCAGUGGGGAAUUUUCCGCAAUGGGCGAAAGCCUGACGGAGCAAUACCGCGUGAGGGAUGACGGCCUUUGGGUUGUAAACCUCUUUUAUCAAGGAGGAAGUUCUGACGUGUACUUGAUGAAUAAGCAUCGGCUAACUCCGUGCCAGCAGCCGCGGUAAGACGGAGGAUGCAAGUGUUAUCCGGAAUCACUGGGCGUAAAGCGUCUGUAGGUUGUUUAAAAAGUCUGCAGUUAAAGGUUGAAGCUUAACUUCAAAAAUGCCGUAGAAACUUUUAAACUAGAGGAUGGUAGGGGUAGAGGGAAUUUCCAGUGGAGCGGUGAAAUGUGUAGAUAUUGGAAAGACCACCGAUGGCGAAGGCACUCUACUG